UUCCCCAUCUUUCUCUAUGCAUGUGACCAUAGCACCACUACUCAAAGAGGCCAUGGCCAUAUCAACACAAUGCUGCACCACCCUACUUGUUUCUCCUCUCCACUUUUUUUUUUCCAUUCUUUUUCUCUCAUCCUUAUGUACGCCACACCUGCCUUUCUUUCUCCUUAUUUUCUCUCAUAAAUUCCUCUACACUCAAAUGAUUGGCAUAGGAUCAACGAUCAUCUUCUCAU
rnacentral:lncRNA from 1 species